rfam:Schistosoma curassoni strain Dakar, Senegal genome assembly, scaffold: SCTD_scaffold0002654
AUCCGUCUGAUGCGUUCCAAAUAGAAUGAAAUGCGCAUCCUGGAU